rnacentral:lncRNA from 1 species
CGACAUCAUUGACAUGGCGGAAUCCCCCAUCAAACCCUCCUGGUAGUUAUUUGAGCGGCGGCGGCGGCGGCUGGAGGAGGAGAGCGGCGGCGGCGGGAGCAGCGAAGGGGGCGGCAGGGAUCCUCCAGGCUGCCGGCUGGGAAGGCGUGGGCGACCCGGUGUGUGGCGCGCCCAGAGCCCCGCGUUUCAGCCCUAGGGAAGGUAAGGCUUGAGGGAAGUUCUCCAUGAAUGUACGUCACAAUGAUGAUGACCGACCAAAUCCCUCUGGAACUGCCACCAUUGCUGAACGGAGAGGUAGCCAUGAUGCCCCACUUGGUGAAUGGAGAUGCAGCUCAGCAGGUUAUUCUCGUUCAAGUUAAUCCAGGUGAGACUUUCACAAUAAGAGCAGAGGAUGGAACACUUCAGUGCAUUCAAGAUGAAGUGGUGAAGAGAGCCUGCGAUUGAAGAUUUUUUCAUCUCAGCUUUUUCCCCCUUACCUUGUUCUCUCUCAUGUUUCAUGAUCUGUGUCAUAGAUAUUUCUUCAUUACGAGCACUUCGCGGUGUGGCUUUUCAAUGUCUGAAGUGGAUUAAGUGGCCCACAGUCAGUUCUGUGACUUGAGUUUCAAAAGUAAAAUUACCAUCAACAAUGUGAUUCAAUUUUAUUUUCUAUACUAGCUAAAAGCAAGGAACUAUAUUAUUAACAAUCUUGGCUUUACUGUAGUUUAAGGCAGGUGAUGAUGAUGCUUAUUAGUCCACCUGAAAGAGUCCUUCCAGGUUUUUGGAAGCUUUAUUCCUGCUUAUUACCUUGCCCUUGAGAAGUCCUUCAUGGAAAGUGGAAACACUGGGUUGACUUCUUUUCCCCAUAUCCUAGUUGAAAGGGACAGCUUAUAUGUAUGUUAGACUGUCCAAAAGUGUUUGUAGAACCUCAUUUUAAAAAAUCAACUGUAUUGUACUUUUUAAAAAAUGGGAUCUUAAACUCUUUAUUAAAAAUAAUAAAUGGAAAUGUGUUAAGCAAAAAC